rnacentral:tRNA from 1 species
AGGGGUGUGGCUCAGGUUGUAGAGCACCUGCCUAGCAAGCAUGAGUGCCUGAGUUCAAAUUCCUGUACCACCA